UCGUGUUCAGAGCUGCAGAAUGAGGA
rnacentral:piRNA from 1 species